GGGAAUCGAACCCAGGCCCUCCUUGCUGUGAGGCGACAGCGCUACCUACCACACCACCGUGCCACUUCUGUCCAAUCGAUACUGGUAGGAACCUAUGCAUAAGGACAUGCAUACCUUUGUUGCAUCUUGCUCCAUGUGCUUACAGUGCAAAACCCCUAAGACGUUACCUGCAGGUAAACUAGUCCCAUUACUUGUCACUGAGAGACCUUGGUCACACAUAGCCGUUGAUUUUGUGACAGAUCUACCAGAGUCAGAGGGCUAUAUCACCAUUCUUACUAUAGUCGAUCAUUUCUCCUGGGGUGUUUGUUUUGUGCCUUUUAUCUCAAUUCCCAAUGCUUUUCAGACUGCAGAGGCUUUGUUUAUGCAUCUUUUCACCUUUUUGGCAUACCUCAGCACACUGUCUGACAGAGCACCCCAGUUCACCUCACAGGUUUGGAAGGCUAUCUUUGAACACAUUGGAGUUACCAUUAGUCUAACAUCAGGUUAUCACUCUCCAUCUACUGACCAAUGCGAAAGGACAUCAAGAAUUGGGUAAAUUUUUGAGACUGUUCUGUCAUCACAACCCUUCCAACUGAUCACGUUAUUUACCAUGGGCUGAGAGCACAGAACCAGUUCAGCUAUGGGUCUGACCCCCUUCCAGGAUACCAGCCACCAUUAGCACCUUGGACAGGUUCCUCCAAAGAUGUUCCCACAGUCGAUGCCUGCAAGCAAAGGAGUGAGAAGGUUUGCAAAGAGACCAACACAUUACAACAAUACAUCAGAGGAACAAGGAAAAAGCAGAUCAUCACAGAAGGCCAUUGGAUGAGGCUACACCAAAUGACACACCACCUCCCCCUGGAGGAGAUUGAUCGGGUGGUAGUUUAUGCAGGCUGCUGGACUGCCGGACAUGAGAAGGCAACCUACAGUACUUGGUAGACUGGGAGGGAUAUGGCCCAGGGGAGCAGUGUUGGGCACAAGACAUCCUGGACCCUGGCCUGAUCACAGACUUCCACAGUCAGCACCCUGGCAAACCUGCUCCUCGUCUUUGGUUGUCUCACAGUGUUCUAACCGUUUGGACUGUAUUCUGGAUAUUGUUCUUUUGCCUCGCCCUUUGGAUUGUUUGCAUAUGGUUGUGUUUAUUUUCUAGCUGAGUUUUUUGGUUUCAACCCAUGCCUGCGUUGUGACUAUGAGCUUGGAUUACAUCUCCAUCAGUAAAGCCUUUCUUGUUCAUUUUUA